GACAGAGGUGCCGAGCGUUAGGCGGAAUCACUGGGCUUAAAGCGUGUGUAGGUGGAUGCCUAAGUACCUUGUGAAAUCCCACGGCUUAACCGUGGAACUGCUUGGUAUACUGGGUGUCUUGAGUCACUCAGGGGCGAGCGGAACAAAUGGUGGAGCGGUGAAAUGCGUAGAUAUCAUUUGGAACGCCAAUGGUGAAAACAGCUCGCUGGGGGUGCACUGACACUGAGACACGAAAGCCAGGGGAGCGAACGGG
rnacentral:rRNA from 1 species